rnacentral:lncRNA from 1 species
GUGAUGUUCUGAACUGUCACUCCUCUCUCUUUCCAACCCUCAUCCCUCUCUCCUCUCCUCCACAGAGAAGCCGAUGGCCAGGGGUCCUCCUGGAGGAAUAUUGGGGGUGUUGGGAGGGGUCGUAGCCGCUGGUCUCCUCAUCGCCGUGGCUGUCACAGUCUUCAUGGUUUACCGGCGGCAGCAGAAGACACGCACCGAGACUGACAAUGACCUGACCGACCUCCCGCCCGCCCACAAGCCGGCCCCUCCCCCGCCCAAAAAGAAGAGCAGCGAUUUGAAGGGCCACUUGACAUCCGAUGAUAUCCAGGUGGUUCAUCUGGAUAAGGGUGAGGACAUGCAGAAGCUUCCUCUCCAGCCUCCCUACUACGAUAUGGCUCCCUCCGAGUCAACCCCUUUCACUGACAAGCCGAACUCUGACCACAAGGACUGUGAUGUCCAGUAUGCGGAGCUGGAUACUGCGGCUCUGGCCUCCUCUCCCAGCCCACGAAGCUCAGUUCAAACUGCCGGGGACCUUGUCGAGUAUGCAACCAUCCAGUCUAGCUCCCACUAGCGCAUGCCAUUAUAGGCCUUUUCCCUCCGAUUCUGGCCUCAAGGUACACAGACUGGUGCACUCUCCUCUCCCAUCCUUCCAUCUCCCACUGCCUCCCUCACUCUGACACAAAG